GGAAGAGACCAUAGACUCAACAGGAGGGGGAGUCCUGGGUAGCGCGCCGGUCUAAAUCGUUACUUGGCGGAAAGUUCCCAUGAGUCUUUGCCAGCGUCCCCCUCCUUUUGUGAGGAUUGGGAUAUUCCGACUCCUUAAGGGCCUGGCGCACAUAAGGGCCACAUCUGCCAGAGCCUGGAGUCUGCGAAGGCCGGGACCCGGUUCCCCGGCCCACAGUGGGGGUGUGCAAACCCGAGAGAACUGGGUUGCAAAUUCGUGAAGAAUCAGCAUCAUGUUUGGCAGCUGAGUAUUGGAGCCAGGAGCCUGCCAUGAGGUUUUGAGAACAGAGUGCUGUUUUAGAGCUGGCAGCAGCAUCUCAGCCCAAGAGAAGUUUCUUUGCAGGUUAUAUUCCCAGAGGAUGUCAGUCCCAAGGACCAGUAGCUGCCAUCAGUUUGGAUUCUGAAAACUAACUGGCAUCAACACUGGGUGUAGAAACAUGCUUGCCUUAUGUAUCAGAGGACAUGCUCAGCAGAUCCAAGAGAUAUAUUUGGCAACUUUUUCUAGAAAAGGCACAUUGGCCGAUGCAGCCUCAGUGUUCCUUUGCCUUGGGGGUUUCUGAGUGGUGGGGUUGUAAGCAGAUCCUGCCAGGCACCCAGAAGGAAACCUCAUCAGGACUCCCUCAGAAAGCAGGCCCUGAAGAAUCCUGUGACCUUCAUCUAAAGUAGGUCAUGAGACCCCUGAGCUUAAAACGGAGUGAUCGGCUUUGGAGAAGUAAGGAGACAUGACGUGCCUGCCCUGGGGUGGGGACUAAACUUCGUGCCACUCCACGUGAAAGGGGGAGAAAUCCCUGGAAGGCACGCAGGCUGGACAUCAUCAUAUAUUCUCUACAGAUGGAGACACCAAGGCCCACGCCUUCUGUGCUGUUGGAAUUUCAGGAAGGAUGGGGGUGGGGCACGGCCUCAGCCCUGGGCAUGUUCUGCAGAUUGCACUGCUCUUAUCUGCCAGGGGGUGGUGAGAGGGUGGCUGAGCUGGACAGAUGGCGGGCAGGGACGGGCUCUGCGGUCUGGCAGCUGACAUUGAUACAAGCAAAAAAAGAGUCUUUGCUGGGGGCUCUGGAGGG
rnacentral:lncRNA from 1 species